CUGGUUUCGAGUAUUUGUUAAAGGCGGUACAAUGAAUAUCUUCAUGGACUCUAUUGCUUAAGCAGCUCGUAUUUUUUUUAAAUUAAAGUGGAAAAAGUAUCUGUUUUUCCUGUUCAGGUCGUUUGGUUUUCUAUCAAGGUUUGCUCAUAU